rnacentral:lncRNA from 1 species
UUCUUGGUAAUUUAGCAUUGUGAUGAAACUAAUUGUUGUUAGCUUUCUAUGGUAUUGAUUUGGACCAUAAUGCUAUCUCACUGUAUCUUUACAGCCAGGUUUUCAUCUCAGUUAGAUAUUGGUUUGUAUUAGAUAUCAGGGACCCAUGGAUAUGGUUUAUGUAAAAUCUUAGCUCUUACUAUAUUGGAUGAAAUAAAAUAAUAUAUUCAAAUAUACCAGCUGAUGCAAUAUUAACAGUUUGUCUGAGAUUUUUGUGUCUUCCUUUUACUAUCUGAACUAAAUAAAUAUCAGAUUCAAAGUCGAGAAACAAUUGUUAACCUCAGUAUUGUGAAUUGAUGAUAUUGUCUGAGAUAUUGAUAGCUCAGUUUUUAUACAUGGGUUGAGGUUUCCAAUGUGUCAAAUAUUUUCCAUAAUCUGCCCACCUUCCAUCUUAGCCAAGAUAUUGAUAACUCAGUUGUUAUAAGUUGGUUGAGAUUUCCAAUAUAUCAAGAUAAAUCAAGAUCUUGGUUCAUAUAAUAUUGAUUUCUCACCAUGAUGGCCAGCAUCUCAUGGAUUUGAAAAACCUUGCUUUCAUCACCAUGCCAAAAAAGAGGAGUUGCUUUUCACCAAAUUUGUAUUGUAUGCAAGUUGACUUUUCCAUAUGCUUAUCCAAGACUAUGCACUUCAACACUCGUCCUAGAUUUUUGGCGAUAGUUGGGAGACAAGUGAAUCAUAUUGGCCCAAUAUAUAACUGGUUCAUCAUCAACAUUCCACUGGCUUGCCACUAUGAUUUCAUGAACUACCUGUCCAGGUUAGCACAGUUGGUAUUUAGGUCUCAAACUUCUCAUCUAGUUGGAGCAAGCAGCCAUGGCCAAUAAAAAGGCUAUUUGACUUGUUUCUGUGGUCAGAUUGAGUUCAAAUGUUGAGAUUAGGUAGAUAAUCAUCAUAGGAGGCUCAUAUUGUGAAAUUAUUCCCUAGCCAAUCCAAAUAUAACAUAUUAAUAGUUGUACGAAGUUGUUAAUAGGGUUAUUAGGUCCUUUCUGUGAAAAGUAGUAAUAUGCUUUUGUUAAGCACACUUUUGAUAGCUGAUGUUAGUGUAGUGGAGAUACGCAUAACAACCAAAUACAUGAGCUCUCGGCUUCCAUUUAAUGUGCCUAAGUGACAUUGUUUAUUGCACAAUAUAUUUGUUAAUCAUUCAAGGGAUUGAUAAGCCCAUGGAAUACGGAUAUUUCACUGGAUUACCCAUGUUUGUAUCCAAUACAUAUCUGAUUUACGCUUGAAAUGUCAUGAUCUACAAAGCAUGGAGACAGAUACGGCAUAUGGAUAUGACAGGAUAUAGAUAUGCUGACACAUCAAAACCUUAAAAAAGUAGGAAACCAUA